UGUAAUGUUGUUGAUGACUUCUACCACGUAUAUUGAUGGAAUGUGCAAGCAAUGACAUCAGAGAUAGAUGUUCUUUUAUUAAUAAGUUGGGAAAAUGUAAUAGUAUUCUGGCUGACCCACCCUAAGACUUGGUCCGAAUGUUAUAUAAGUUAGUGGAUAAGAGAACUUAAGUUAUGUAUAUGUAAUAAUUAAUCUAAGUCUCCUAACCAGGGCGACAUAAUCGCUCUUGCGAUAAAGCCCUUAAAUUUGAUU